GUCUACGGCCAUGCCACCCUGAACAAGCCAGAUCCUGUCUGAUCUCGGAAGCUAAGCAGGGUCGGGCCUGGUUAGUACUUGGAUGGGAGGCCACGUAGGAAGACCAGGAGCUGUAGGCG
rfam:Pteropus alecto contig11670, whole genome shotgun sequence.